rnacentral:rRNA from 1 species
UACGUAGGGGGCAAGCGUUGUCCGGAUUUAUUGGGCGUAAAGAGCGUGUAGGCGGCCAGACAGGUCAGCUGUGAAAACUCGAGGCUCAACCUCGAGACGUCGGUUGAAACCGUCUGGCUAGAGUCCGGAAGAGGAGAGUGAAUUCCCGGUGUAGCGGUGAAAUGCGUAGAUAUUGGAAGGAACACCAAAGGCGAAAGCACUUUACUGGGCCAGUACUGACACUGAGAGACGAAAGCUAGGGGAGCAA